GAAACUUUGAACUGCAGUAAAACAGACAAUUUUUAUUUGUGAGUUACUGUUCACAUAUCAAAUAUUUUAUUUAUUUAUUUCAGUUUAAUCCUGACACCGAGGGUUGCAGAACCGUUUCCAUCAUCGCAUCUCUUCCCCGGUGAAUUUGAGUGCUUUCCUCUUCUAACAAUGAUGAUGACCAUCGAAGGGUGUGCCUUGGUCGACGUAAAUCCACCAUGAGAGCCCUUUUUCCGCUUGUUUCGUUUCAGAUUCCGAUCCAAUGCAUGUGUCACCAACCCAAGUGACACACUGUACAGCCGAGUCACGUUGUUCAGCGGUUCUGACAAUGCGCCCACAAUGCUGCUCUCGGAAUCCUCGAGCCCUUCGUAGCAUGUCUGCUGGUUCGUCACUAUCGCACUCAGCAGCGUCUGCACUCUCUCCACCAGCUCUUCGUUCAUCGACUCGGCUGACUUGAGCUCGGCGGAGAUGGAGUCCAGGUACUCCACGUUGAGCUGGGAGAGCUGCCGGCAAUCCUCGAGUGCUCCAGUCUCAGCGUGGCCCAUCGACGAGCGUCGCUCUUUUUGGGUUAGGUAGUGGCCGAUCCGGUCUGACGUUUUACGUGCUUGCUUCAGACAUUGCUUCACGGAAAACUUGCUGUAAUCGUAAGCGUCGGACGGCGAGUAGCGGAUGGUGGAGAGGAUGGAACGGCAGAGUUUGGGGUAAAGAGUAGAUUUGCAUGCAGCAGAAGGCGACUGUGGAGAGGACUGGGCCGAGGUACUAUACAGAGCCAACGAAAGUGAAAGAAGAAAAAAAAGGAUGAGAUUAAAGAGGAAAAA